GGACACCCUAAAUUUUUUCAUUCUCAGAAUCAGAAAGCUUGCACGUACAACGAAUAUACUCACAAGACAGUUACUAUACCAGGUUGCCCAAUGCAUGUGAAUCCAGUUUAUACCUACCCUGUAGCUAUCAGUUGCAAGUGUGGUAAAUGUAACACAGACUACAGUGAAUGCAUACAGGAUGUGAUUAAAACAAAUUACUGUACAAAAUCUAAAAAGCCCAAUCAGAUUGGCUUAUCUAAUUAUAUCUAGUAACUAUCUAUCAGAAUAAUCGCAAAUCAUGAUUGCAGUAUGAUAGUCUUCAGAUACUCAAAAUCUGACCCUUGUUUUGCUUAGAACCUUCAUGCAAUCGUUAUGGCAUCCAGAACUUUUAGCAAUGUAAGUUUUCUUCUGUUUAUGGUAAAUAUGAGACUUAAUGCUUUAGAAAGGCAGUCAUGGCAAUGUACUUAGAACAUGUAGAAUACAGCCAAAAAUUGGAUCACUUUAUUACACCAGAAGGUCUGUUUCCAUAAAUAGUUGCAUGUAGAAAUAGAUGGAUAGUUAUUAGGUAAUUUGUAAAAUGUGAUUUUCUUUUUAAACCGUACACAGAUUUAGUUCACCCUAAGUUAUUUUGCCUUCUUUCUCGAGAAACUAAUGUUACAUGAUUCAUGAAAAAGAAAGGAACAUUAUGUUGUUAGGAAUACGAAACUGUAUGCCUAACACUAUAGUGUUCCACUGCCUUCACGCCUCUCACCCCAUGACCAUGAGAGGGUUAUAAACUCUUUCACUUACUUGUUUUCAGCACCAAGGGCCCUCGGCACUGGAUCGCUCUCUGCCUCCUCUGGCGUCAGUGAUGGAGGAAAUCUAAUGUGCAUGAAUUAAUGCUUUUCAAGAUGCUGGAUGUCCUCAUGCAAAUAGUGAGGAUAUCCAGCAUUGUUUCACAGAGUUAAAUUCCGUGAAAGGCUUGGAAGCAUCAGGUAGACACCCACUAGAGGAAUUCUUCAAAAAGCCAAUGUAAACAUUGCAGUUUCUCUAAAACUGCAAUGUUUUACAUUGCAGGGUUAAGGAGACUGAGGGAAAUCAACCAGACCACUUCAAUUAGAUGAAGUGGUCUGGGAGCCUAUAGUCUCCCUUUAACUGAAUAACGUUUCAGACAUCCCAGAUAAUGCUAUAACUAGACAUAUGAUUUCUGCCGUGAAGGAUAUUUCUUUUCAUCGAAAUACAUCUAAAGGAAAUUAGAGACCAUGCUGGAACAUUACCACAUAUGAGAAGGAUCUGCCAUAACAUGGAUGGUUGUGGACCAAAAGUAUGUAGGAACAUCACAAAUCUUUGCCUUUAUCUUCUCAAAAAAAAGAGCAGUGGGCACUUUCUGCUCUGGAGUAAUGGUUAGGUUUCUUAGUGAUUAGGUUUUCUAGGGGAUGUUAGAUAAGGUGUGAAUGGC